GGCAGUGUGGUGUUGUGGUAAGGCGCAAGGCUCCUAACCAAAAGGUCGCUGUUUCGAAUCCCACCAGGGCCC